rnacentral:rRNA from 1 species
AUUGAACGCUGGCGGCAGGCUUAACACAUGCAAGUCGAGCGGGGUGAUGGUGCUUGCACUAUCUCUUAGCGGCGGACGGGUGAGUAAUGCUUAGGAAUCUGCCUAUUAGUGGGGGACAACAUCUCGAAAGGGAUGCUAAUACCGCAUACGUCCUACGGGAGAAAGCAGGGGAUCACUUGUGACCUUGCGCUAAUAGAUGAGCCUAAGUCGGAUUAGCUAGUUGGUGGGGUGAAGGCCUACCAAGGCGACGAUCUGUAGCGGGUCUGAGAGGAUGAUCCGCCACACUGGGACUGAGACACGGCCCAGACUCCGACGGGAGGCAGCAGUGGGGAAUAUUGGACAAUGGGGGGAACCCUGAUCCAGCCAUGCCGCGUGUGUGAAGAAGGCCUUAUGGUUGUAAAGCACUUUAAGCGAGGAGGAGGCUCUUUUGGUUAAUACCCAAGAUGAGUGGGCGUUACUCGCAGAAUAAGCACCGGCUAACUCUGUGCCAGCCGCCGCGGUAA